CACUUUAGCAGCAGUAGUUUUUUGGGAGGCUUAUAGCUUUGUCAUGUAAAACAGGGGACUUAAACAGAGGUUGCUUUUUCUCGAUUUGGUAGAAAACAUGUUGUAUUUGAUUUUUGCAGAAUGGCAUCAAGAUCAAAAACAAUCUCUGUGCAGAUGAUAAAAUACUUUUAUUACGGCAGAGCUUACUGAAUGUGUUGCAGGGUGAAAUCAGCAAAAUGUGCAGUGUGGCAGGUUCUGUAGGACGAAUGACCUGGCUUCUCCAACCAAGGGAGCCAAAGCACAUUCUGGGUCACAGAUCAUGGAGGACAGAGAGGAUC
ensembl:lncRNA novel transcript